UACGAAGGGGGCUAGCGUUGCUCGGAAUCACUGGGCGUAAAGCGCACGUAGGCGGACUCUAAGUCGGUGGUGAAAUCCGUGGAGCUCAACUCCAGAACUGCCUUCGGAUACUGAGAGUCUUGAGCCGGGAGAGGUGAGUGGAACUGCGAGUGUAGAGGUGAAAUUCGUAGAUAUUCGCAAGAACACCAGUGGGCGAAGGCGGCUCACUGGCCCGGUACUGACGCUGAGGUGCGAAAGCGUGGGGAGCAAACAGG
rnacentral:rRNA from 1 species